UACGAAGGGAGCUAGCGUUGUUCGGAAUCACUGGGCGUAAAGCGCACGUAGGCGGAUGUGUCAGUCAGGGGUGAAAUCCCGGAGCUCAACUUUGGAACUGCCUUUGAUACAGCACGUCUUGAGUCCGAUAGAGGUGGGUGGAAUUCCUAGUGUAGAGGUGAAAUUCGUAGAUAUUAGGAAGAACACCGGUGGCGAAGGCGGCCCACUGGAUCGGUACUGACGCUGAGGUGCGAAAGCGUGGGGAGCAAACAGG
rnacentral:rRNA from 1 species